CGUUUGCUUUAAAAGAAAUUCUUUAAAGAAAUUGUGCUGCCCAUAAAAAUGGAGUAGAGUGAUGAAACAUGCAUUACUUUGUUUUUAUAUGUUUGUAUAGAGUAUUGAUAGGUCAUGACUAGCCGAAGUCCAUCCAAUGCUUGACGUUGGAUCCUUUGAGCGGUUAUCAUCCUCUACUAUAUACAAAAAAAUAGACAGAAAGAAUAUGGAGGUUUCUAUAGAC
rnacentral:lncRNA from 1 species